AGCGAACGCUGGCGGCAUGCCUAACACAUGCAAGUCGAACGAACCCUUCGGGGUUAGUGGCGGACGGGUGAGUAACACGUGGGAACGUGCCUUUAGGUUCGGAAUAACUCAGGGAAACGUGUGCUAAUACCGGAUGUGCCCUUCGGGGGAAAGAUUUAUCGCCUUGAGAGGGGCCCGCGUCUGAUUAGCUAGUUGGUGGGGUAAUGGCUCACCAAGGCGACGAUCAGUAGCUGGUCUGAGAGGAUGAUCAGCCACAUUGGGACUGAGACACGGCCCAGACUCCUACGGGAGGCAGCAGUGGGGAAUCUUGCGCAAUGGGCGAAAGCCUGACGCAGCCAUGCCGCGUGGAUGAUGAAGGUCUUAGGAUUGUAAAAUCCUUUCACCGGUGAAGAUAAUGACUGUAGCCGGAGAAGAAGCCCCGGCUAACUUCGUGCCAGCCGCCGCGGUAAGAC
rnacentral:rRNA from 1 species